AUACUUACCUGGCAGGGGUGGUACCAUGAUCAAGAUGGUGGUUCACCCAGGGUGAGGCUCAACCAUUGCAGUCGGUGUUGAGCUGACGUCUGCGAAUUCCCCAAAUGUGGGAAUCUCGACUGCAUAAUUUCUGGUAGUGGGGGACUGCGUUCGCGCUCUCCCCUG
ensembl:snRNA U1 U1 spliceosomal RNA